CUACGGGGUGCAGCAGGCGCGAAACCUCCGCAAUGCACGCAAGUGUGACGGGGGAACUCUGAGUGUUCUCGAUUUUUUCGUGAACUUUUCUGAAGCGUAAAUAACUUUAGGAAUAAGAGCUGGGUAAGACGGGUGCCAGCCGCCGCGGUAAUACCCGCAGCUCUAGUUGUUUGGACUAUUAUUGGGUCUAAAGCGUUCGUAGCCGGAGAGACAAGUUCUUUGUGAAAUCCAACAACUUAAUUGUUGGACGUGCAGGGAAUACUAUCUUUCUUGGGACCGGGAUGGGCCAAGGGUACUUUUGGGGUAGGGGUGAAAUCCAAUAAUCCCAAAGGGACCACCUGUGGCGAAGGCGCUUGGCUAAAACGGGUCCGACGGUGAGGAACGAAAGCUAGGGGAGCGAACGGGAUUAGAUACCCGCGUAGUC
rnacentral:rRNA from 1 species